rnacentral:rRNA from 1 species
UACAGAGGGGGCAAGCGUUGUUCGGAAUUACUGGGCGUAAAGGGCGCGUAGGCGGCCGCCUAAGUCAGACGUGAAAUCCCUCGGCUCAACCGGGGAACUGCGUCUGAUACUGGGUGGCUUGAAUUCGGGAGAGGGAUGCGGAAUUCCAGGUGUAGCGGUGAAAUGCGUAGAUAUCUGGAGGAACACCGGUGGCGAAGGCGGCAUCCUGGACCAACACUGACACUGAGGAGCGAAAGCCAGGGGAGCAAACGGG